rnacentral:lncRNA from 1 species
UUGUUUUAGGCCAUAUAGUGAUUUGUUUAAUUUGCAGAUGGGGUUGUGUGGUGCAUUUUUGGGUAGUUCUAAUCCCAAUGGGAUUUUCAUAUAUAUGUUUUCUUCUAAGUUUCCAUGUAGGAAUGCAUUUUGGACAUCCAUUUGAUGCAUGUCCCAUUUUUGUGCUACUGCUAUAGCUAUGACAGUCCUUAAGGUUGUCAUUUUAGAUACGGGGGCAAAGGUUUCAUUGAAGUCAAUGCCUUCAAUUUGGUUGUAACCUUUGGCUACUAAUCUAGCCUUAUAUUUUUCAAUGCUUCCAUCACUGUUAAAUUUUGUUUUAUAGACCCAUUUGCAUCCAAUGGGUUUCUUGUCAUUAGGCAUGCUUGUGAUGGUCCAUGUUUGGUUAUGUUCAAGAGCCUGUAGUUCUUGCUUCAUAGCAUUGUUCCAUUUCAUGUGUUUGGAUGCUUCCUUGUAGGAAGUUGGAUCCAAAUUGUUCUUUAUUGUUGUUAAAAAUGCAGAGUGUUCGGGGGUAAAGUAUUGAGAAGAGAGCAUGUUCUCAAUUGGGUGUCUAGUGGAUGCUGCUUGUAGAGAGAAGUCUUUUAAGUAUGAUGGUGUUUUCCUAUUUCUUUUUGGUCUUGGUGCAUCCUCUUCUGGGAUGCUUGGUGCAUUCUCUGUUUCAUGUUGUGUUUCUGGGAUUAUUGGUGUGUCCUCUUCUUGUGAAGGAGGUGUGAGUGUGUAUGUGUUCUCAUCUGAUCUGUUGUCUGUCUCUGAUGUAUCAAAGAUGUUUUCUUGAUACUGUUCUGUUUGUUCUUUGAAGGGAAAGAUGUCUUCAAAGAAUGUUACAUCCCUGUUUGUAAAGAUUUCUUGGGUGGAUGUAUCUAGUAUGUUGUAUCCUUUCCUUUGAGGAGAAUAUCCAAUGAAUAUUCCCUUUAUUGACCUGUUGUCAAAUUUUGAUUUUGUUUUAUUAUUUGUGGCAUAACAUAGACACCCAAAUACUUUUAGGAUGUCUAAAUUUGGUUGUUCCCCAAAUAGUCUGAAAAAUGGAGUUUCAUUAUCUAAUACUACAGCUGGGGUCCUGUUUAUUAGGAAGACAGCUGUUUUGAUGCAUUCCCCCCAAUACUUUAGGGGAAUGUUAGAUUGGAUCAUUAGUGACCUAGCCACUUGUAGUAUGUGUUGAUGUUUUCUUUCAACUCUUCCAUUUUGUUGUGGGGUAUAUGGACAUGACAGUUGGUGUGCUAUACCAUCUGUUUUAAUUAUGUUUUGGAAUUCUUUGGAUAAGAAUUCUGUACCAUUGUCUGACCUUAUGGUAUGGACAAUGGUUUGGUGUUGGUUUUUAAUGUUUGUUAGAAAUUGUUUGAAUUUGAUGGAUGUUUCUGACUUGUUUAUCAUUAGGAAGACCCAAGUUGCUCUGGAAUAAUCAUCCACUAUGGUUAGGAAGUAGUUAUUUCCUUGAUGUGUAGGAGUGUGGAAUUUUCCCCAUAUGUCUAAGUGUAAUAAUUGAAAGCACCUUGUUGUUUUAUUUGAACUUAGAGAAAAAGGGAGCCUUGUCUGUUUGGACAGUGGGCAUGUAUUACAAAAAAUUUUAAAAUUCUUUGGAAUACAAUUGUUUAAGAUAUUAAAAUGAUAAAAUCUAGAGGGUGCUGGAUGUCCUAGCCUCUGGUGCCAUAUCUCUUCAUCCUUUGUUUCCUUCUGUUGGCUGUGAUUGGCCUGAUUGUCAUGCUUUAGGAUGUAGAGUCCAUUCUUCUUCUCACCCCCACCAAUCCGGUUUCCCUGUUGGUCCUAUAUGGAACAGAAAGUAGGGUGGAAGGUGAAUGAGCAUUUGAUAUCCUUUGUUAGUUGGCUUACAGAGAGUAGGUUGACUGAGAAUGAUGGGAUCUUUAAGACAUUGUUUAAGGUAAUGUCUUUUGUGAUUUGAGUGGAGCCACUAACUGAGACUUUAGUGGUUUGUGAAUUUGGGAGAUGAAUGUUUAUAGGGUAUAGUAGAUUUUUUUCAUUGUUUAAGCUGGUAUUGGGGGCACACAUGUGGUCUGUUGCCCCUGUGUCAAUGAUCCACUGAUCAUUCUGUGAUUGGGUGCAUGCUGUAGUGUUUAGUGAGUAAUGUGGGUUGAAGCAUGUGUUGUUUUUAUAGUAAAACGUACCAGAAGUGCUACCAGACAUGUGAGCUUGUGGUUGAUUUUCCUUUUGGAUUCCUCCCUGGGAGAGUAUGGAGAUUAGCUCUUCUCUAGUGAUGAAGUUUCCUGAAGUCUGUGGAUUUUCAGAGGUUUGUGCUUCAUCUUCUGCGUUGACAUUGUUGCUUUGGUACUUCUUGUAUCCUUUGUUGGAUUUGUAGCCUUUUUUGUUAUUGUACCUUAUGUUGUUUUCCUUUCUUUUGUUGAAGUCCACCCCGUGUAGUCCAUGGCCUGGUGGGAAACCAUUUUCAUAGAAGCAGUUUUCUAUGCUGUGAUUAUGUUUCUUGCAUCUUGUGCAGUAUGGUUUAGAGUCUUCACUUUGGUUUUGUGGUUUUGGUGUGAAGUUACUCUUAGAUUGUGUGACCAGGGCAGUUCCCUCUUCAGGGUAGACACAUUCCCUUUGUGUCUCUUCUUGAAGUACCAUUCUGAAGGCAUCAUCCACAGAUGGAGGGGUCUUCUUUUUGAGUAUUUGGCCUCUUAUCGAUAGAAAGGUAUCGUUUAGGCCAGUUGUGAAUGUGAUCAACCUGUCCAUAUUCUCCCUUUGAAUGCAGUUAGGGUUGUUACAGCAUUCAAAGAUCUGAUUGUUGUCCAAUUCAUUCCAUAGGCCUUGCAACUUUGCAUAAUAGUUGCUGACAGAUUCACUUCCUUGAGUACAAAGUGCAAUCUGUCUUUUCAGUUGUGAAAUGACCAGUGAAUUGGCCCUGCUGUAUUUUUGUUUGAGGUUUUCCCAGAGGGUGGUGGCAUCUUUUAUGAAGAUUACACUUCCUCUGAUCUCCUUUGCACAGCUGUUGAGUAUCCAUGCAGUUACCAGGUCAUUACAUCUGGUCCAAGGGGUGUAGUAGUUGUCUGUGUUAUUGAUUGGUUUGGUGAUGGAUCCAUUUAUGAAUCCUAGCUUGUUUUUGGUAGAUAAUGAUCUUUGGAUCUCUACCACCCAUGUCUGAUAGUUUGGUCCACUAAGUGGAGUUGUCACCAGGCCUAAGCUUGGGUUAUCACUACCUGAUAUGUAGUAUGGGCUUCCAUCCUUUAUUUUUAGCUCAUCAUUCUUUGUUUCCAUUUGCAGAUAGAAAUGAAAGAAGAGCAAGGAGGUUAAUGCGAAGACACACUAGGAAUCUUAGGAGAAUGAGAGAGCUGAGAAGACACAAUAUGGAUGUGGAAGCUCUUGAGUAUUUUGGUGAUGUGGAAGAUGUGUACUCUUCCUCUGAUUCUGAAUAUGAAAGGCCUGUUCCUGUGUUGGAUCUUGAUUUUCCCUCAGACAGUGAUGGUGAGGAUGGUGUGGUGUGUCAACAAUAUCUUUAUGACUUUGAUAGUGAUGACUCUAUGCCUGAUUAUGAAAUGUGGAGUGAUCCAGAUGUGGGUCUGAACUCUGAUGGAGAAAAGAUUAAUGGUGUUUUGGCUGUGGAGAUUCCACUGCCUCCUCGUUCUCCUCAAGAAUUCUUUGAUAAUAUCUGGAGGAACAGAGUUGUUUUUGAUGAUUGAAAGACUUGAUUGACUGUCCUUCCUCUUUUUGGUUUGAAACAGCUUGCUCUUUUUGGUGUGGUGACUGUUUCUUUUCUCUUUAUAGUUUCUCUUUGUAGAGAAAAAAAAACAAUAGCAGAAAAAUAUUUUGUAGGUUUCAGGAUGAAGCCUCCUCUGAUACCAUGAUAGAGAAUUGGUAUAGAUGAUAUGAUCAAACAAUCAUAUAAAUAUGUAAUACUUAAGCAAUUCAAAUGAUGAAUGGAAAUAUAUAUGAUGCUUAAGUAUAUAAAUAUGUAAAUUGUUGAUACUGUUGGAUGAUCGAUUGAUUGGAAUGUAGCUCGAUUAUCCAACAAAUGAUCUGCAGGUUUGAUGAUGUAAUUGCGGAAGUAUUUGAGCAGCAGCAAAGUGUUGUUGAAGAACAGAGUGUGUGUGUGUGUGUAUGGUUGAUGGUGAUAGUGAAAACGUUAAAUUCUAAUGAAGGCUUAGGUAGGUUUAAAUACUAAACACCCAACGGCUAUGUUGGUGUUUGGUAUUAAUUAUAAUGAGGAAAUAGAAUCAAUGAUGGAUAUGGAAUUAAUGAUAUAUGGGAAUUCCUAGAAAAGGAAUGUGAGAAGUCAUGGGAUUGUAUAUAUGCAGUAAGGAUGUAUCUGUAAUACAUCUAUAACUUUGGGGUUUUGGUAUAUAUAUAUAUGCAUUAUAAUAUGUGUAUAACUUAGGGGUUUGAAAAUAGUAUUUACAUUAAGGGUAUAUUUAUAAUUUUAAUUCUUUAUGGGGUUACAUUUCUAAUAUCCUCCCUCAAAUUAAAAGCGGUUAGGUUUUUAAUUUGAAAAAGAAUGAGAUGUAGAGUUGCAACCCUUGGGUCGAAUCAGAGGCGGUUCGCCUGGAUUCUUGAGCCUGGGUUGUGUACAUCUAGCAGUUGCAAUUUUUGGAGUAAAUUGCGAAAAGUUGGUCCUCCCAGGGGUUUUGUGAAAAAGUCCCCAACGUUUUGUGCACUGGGAAUGUGCUUCAAUACAACCUCUCCCGCUAAAACCUUGUCGCGCACUGUGUGGAGAUCGAUUUCUAUGUGUUUGGUUCUCUGGUGAGAGAUAGGGUUUUUGGCUAUUGCCUCUGCCGCAGUGCUGUCAGUAAGUAUCCUUGGAGCUGGUGAUUCUCCGAUCAGGUAUACUCCUAUUUCUUGUAGCAGCAUUUUUAACCAUGUUACUUCACAUGUCGUGUAUGCUAAUGCACGAUAUUCGGCCUCUGCUGAUGAUCUUGAUGCCGUUUGUUGUUUCUUUGAUUUCCAUGAUAUCAAUGAUGAUCCUAGGAAUAUGGCGAAUCCAGACGUUGAUCGUCUCGUAGUGGGACAACUUGCCCAAUCAGAGUCUGUAAAUGCUCCUAUGUGGUCUAUUGAGGAGCCUGAUGAGAAGUGCAAACCUAAUCCAGGUGAUCCUUUGAUGUAUUUUAAAACUCUGUAUGCUGCUUUCAUAUGUGAUUCAGUAGGUAUUGUCAUGUGUUGGCUUAGAUAUGUUACAGCAUAGGAUAUGUCUGGUCUUGUGCAUGUUAGGUAUACUAGUUUUCCUACUAUGCUUCUAUAUUUUUGUGGAUCCUCCAGUAUGGUUUCAUUUUCUUUUAUUUUGUUUGAUUGCAUUGGAGUUUUGUUUAGAAAAUUUUCUUUAUUAGGGCAAUCUGUAAUUUUAUCUGUUUUGUGUUUGGAUAUUUGUUUGUGACUGUUUGGGGUUUUAUUUGGUUUGCAUUGUGUGAGUUCAUAUUUUUCAAGUAGGUCUAAUGUGUAUUUUCUCUGGCCAAUGUAUAGACCAUUUGAUGUUUUGGUGAAUUCGAGUCCUAGGAAGUAUUUGAGUUCUCCAAGAUCUUUAAUUUUAAAGAUUUCUUGGAGGUUUUCUUUUAGAGUUUUAAUUGUGUUUAUGUUGUUGCCUGUGAUGAGGAGGUCAUCAACAUAUGCUAAUACAAUUGUGGUUUCUUGUUUGUUUUUGUUUAUGAACAGAGAAUAGUCUGUUUUGCAUUGCUUGUAUCCAAGGUUGGAUAAUGCAUUUGAUAGAGUUUGGUACCAAACUCUUGAUGCUUGUUUUAGGCCAUAUAGUGAUUUGUUUAAUUUGCAGAUGGAGUUGUGUGGUGCAUUUUUGGGUAGUUCUAAUCCCAAUGGGAUUUUCAUAUAUAUGUUUUCUUCUAAGUUUCCAUGUAGGAAUGCAUUUUGGACAUCCAUUUGAUGCAUGUCCCAUUUUUGUGCUACUGCUAUAGCUAUGACAGUCCUUAAGGUUGUCAUUUUAGAUACGGGGGCAAAGGUUUCAUUGAAGUCAAUGCCUUCAAUUUGGUUGUAACCUUUGGCUACUAAUCUAGCCUUAUAUUUUUCAAUACUUCCAUCACUGUUAAAUUUUGUUUUAUAGACCCAUUUGCAUCCAAUGGGUUUCUUGUCAUUAGGCAUGCUUGUGAUGGUCCAUGUUUGGUUAUGUUCAAGAGCCUGUAGUUCUUGCUUCAUAGCAUUGUUCCAUUUCAUGUGUUUGGAUGCUUCCUUGUAGGAAGUUGGAUCCAAAUUGUUCUUUAUUGUUGUUAAAAAUGCAGAGUGUUCGGGGGUAAAGUAUUGAGAAGAAAGCAUGUUCUCAAUGGGGUGUCUAGUGGAUGCUGCUUGUAGAGAGAAAUCUUUUAAGUAUGAUGGUGUUUUCCUGUUUCUUUUUGGUCUUGGUGCAUCCUCUUCUGGGAUGCUUGGUGCAUUCUCUGUUUCAUGUUGUGUUUCUGGGAUUAUUGGUGUGUCCUCUUCUUGUGAAGGAGGUGUGAGUGUGUAUGUGUUCUCAUCUGAUGUAUUAUCUGUCUCUGAUGUAUCAAAAAUGUUUUCUUGAUACUGUUCUGUUUGUUCUUUGAAGGGAAAGAUGUC